UGAGGAGUUUUGGCUGAGAAAGCACUGGUGAUGGAGCCCAGGGCCUUAUGUACAAUUGGCAAGUGCUCUACCAUGGAGCUACACAGCAGACCUGAGUUAUGUGUUUUGGGGAUGAAGACUCCAGAGGCGAGGGGCCAGCACUAUCACCUUGUGUCAAGGGAACACGUACCAAUGUGACCUGUCACUGCGGAGACCUGGCAGAGGCAGCACUUGUCAGCUUUCCUCACGGAACCAUAAACUAUGCAACUUUGCUCUGCCAUAUCCUUCUACCAUGAAGUUUCGGCCUCGGAGCCAGCUGACCAUGGACUGAACCUCCUGAAAAUUUGCUGGUCCUCUCCAUCACCAUCCAGACUAUUGUGGCCACUUUCUAUGUGGGCAGCAAUUCUGUUCUGUGUGCUGCUGUAGUUCACCAUCUAGUGUCUGGCAUCAUUCAUCAGGAUAUAUUUGCGAAUGCAUGAAUAAAAUGUUCAGUCCACUUUUCGCUCCACCUCUCGCAUCCCCAUUUUGCAGGCUACUGUCGGGAUUAUUGCGUGAAAACAGAAUCCAAUUGUAUCAACAACCUACAAAUCCUCUGGUGAUUGAUCUCCACUGCCAAAAAGUCAAGACCCUCAAAAUAGUCUUUACAGGUCUUUAGAAUUUGAUCCCGAUCUGCCAUUGUGGCUCAUCUCCUGAAUGCUAAAUGCAGUCACUUAGAAAUACCAUCUCCUGGUGAUAUCAAGAGCUCCUUUUGCUGUCCCUUUGGGAUUGCCCACCUGCCACCCUGCUGGUCAGGCCAGAUGUUCCCCAUUCUUCAAACCCUAGCUCAAAUAUCACCCUCUCAUGUGACCUUCUCUUGUUAAGGCAAGAACCAUUCCAACUGAGCUCAGCACACCUUGUUCAUAUUGCUUCUGAGGCCCACCCCAUAUAUUACCUAUUAGUUGGCCUAUGUCUGUCUCUCUGGAGAGAUGGUCUCUCCCUUGACACCCCGAGGUCACAUGAGCUACAUCUUAUUCAUUUAUCUUUGAUUCCCCAGUUGUUAACAUGGAAGCAUGUGUGAAAUUUGUAAUGAGAGGUAAAAUCUACUGACUGCAUGCAAUGUGCCAGAUAUUUAACACUGCCACCUCUUUCAUCCUCAAAAUAAUUCUCAGAGGUAGGUCAUAGUAUGGUUCUUAUUUUACAACUGAGGAAACUGAGGCUCAGAGAAGUUAAAUGCUUUGCCUGGAGUUGCACAGGUAGUAGAACCAUAACACAUGUAACACUCCAGACUCAGUCCUGACUGCCUACUGGAAUGCCCAAGGAGCUGUGAAGAACCUCUGGUGUCUGAGCCUCAUUCCAGAACAGCUGGGCCACUGAGGUAAUGACCUGGGCCAUAGACAUAAAUCAAGACCCCCCAGGGCUGAGAACUCUGGUGAGAAAGAAGCAUCACCUGGAUUAUUUGUUAAGUAGAUGGAUCACUGCACUUCUCUUCCAGAACAUGCGGUUUCCAUAGAUUAGCACUGAAGCCUAGAGAUUUGUGGUUUAACUCUUGGUGAUUCUCAUUGUUUUAUUCCUUUUAUUUGUGGGGCCUUCACACCCAGCUAUAUCUUCAGUUUUUUAAAAUUUUAUUUUAUUUUUGUUUUGAGACAGGGUCUUACUAAGUCACCAAGUUGCCCAGGAUAGGUUUGAACCUGUGAUCCUCCUGCACCAGUCUCCCAGAGUGCUGGGAUUAUAGAACUGCACCAUCACACCUGACUUGUGAUUCUCAUCUUAAAGGAAGUUUGGUAAUACUGCUAAAGAGCAGGAUUGAAAGUCAUUUAAGUAGGGCUUUAGACAUUAACCUUCAGGGUCUGAUUGAAAAAUAUAGCAAAUGUUUAAAUUAAAGAUAUUUUAUCAUAGUAGAAAACACAUUGCUACUAACUGCCCUCAGAAAUACUGCCCCCCCCCCACACUUUGAACACACUUAUCCCACCAUUCUUGCUACUUUCUGAAGCAGUUCUGGAAGUCCUCUUUUGUGAGUGUCUUUAAUGGUACUUGUGGCUGCCUUGAUGUCCUGAAUGGAUUCAGAAUGUUUACCUUUCAUAAUUAUUUUGACUUUGGGGAAGAGCCAGAAGUCGCACACUGCCGGAUCCAGUGAAUAAGGUGGAUGAGGGUACACUGUAAUAUUUUCAGGAGCCUGCCUUUCCAUUGGGUGACACUGAGCAGCAGCAUUCCUCAUAAAGAUACUCACAAAAGAGGAAUUCCAGAACUGUUUCAGAAAGUGGCAAGAACAAUAAAUGUAUUUGAAGCAAGAGGAAAUGUUUCAGUGAUGUAUCUUUUAUUUUAAUACAUUUUUCUAAAAUUUAAAUAUUCAGUACACAUUUUCAUGAUACCUCCUACCUUGCCUAUCAGUGAUGGUAUGGAGACACUGGGAAGAUCUGGGGCUGUGUGCUCAUGUGGAUGAACUUUCAGACCAUGAGCAGCACAGUGAGUCCCACUGCUUCAGGGACACUAAGCUGGAAUAGCUGACAGCACCAUAGAAGCAUAUAGCUGUAAUUUGUUUCUUGAUAGUGCCUAACCCCAACAUUUCACCAGGACUUGUCUUGAGCAUUCUACAUACUGUGGCAACAAACUAGAGGAGCAGCCUUGUGGCUUCUUAAGUGUAGAAGGGGACAAUGCAGACAGGCACCAGGUAAGCUCUGGCUGAGGCCUCCCCCACCUCCUCCCUUGGGGCUUCCUGAGCUUUGCCCCACUGCAGCCCCUAUGAUGAAGCAGUUAAUGAAGCCAGACUCCUGUCACUGCCUCCAUCUCCUUCAGCAGAUUCACUGAGUGUCUGAUGGAAGGCUGGUCCUUUGCCUGUCCCUGCCUCCCAAAGGGUUGACUCUGGGCUCCUUUUGAGGAGCCUUAUCACUGGCUCUCUGAAAUCUGGCCAGCUGGUUUCUGAGUGAUUUUAUGGUCAUCAUUUGAUCAGCCCUGUUUCAUGCUUCUUAACUGCUGUGUUUACUGACCUUUCUCAAGAUUCAGAAGGAAAUGCCUCUCUUCCACAUGCAAUUCACACAGACUAAAUUCAAGAAAAGCUCUCCUUUGCUGUUCUUUUCUUUCUCCCUUUCUCAUCCCAAGAGAAGCUCUGAAUCUAUUUAUGGACAACAUUCAGGUUCUAGAACUUAUGCUGCCAGAAGAGUGUUCCUAAUGGGAAAUCUAACUGGGCCUCCCACUGACAGAGAAGACCACCCCAUCUGCAGCGAGGGACAAGGGACACUCCCAGCCCAGAUGUAAAGAAAUGCAGCAGAUUGUGGCUUGAUGUAUAUUCAUUGCUUAUUUAAUAUUUGAGCAUCUUUUUCUAAAGAUAUUUCUAUUGAACUCACUUGUGGUGUCACCAUCUGGAAAGUAUCAGGCCUCGCCCACUGAGUACUGAAGAUUGAACCCAGGACCUUUGCAUUGAACUUCAUCCCCAGCCUCCUCCAGUGCCAAGCCUGGUGCCCAGCACAGUGCAGCUCUGUUGAUCACAAUGGAGUGAGCUGAGCUGCACACGAUGACCUCUCUGGCAGGACGCUGGCGUGGAGGGAAAAGAAGCCCAGAGCAAAUUCCAGCCCUGGCCUGCAGCUCAGAUUUGACCUCCCUCUACUUUUCUCAACACUAAUCCCAGGCCCGUGUUAUGAUAAACUACUUGCUCCUUGUUCAGCAGUACAUUCAGGAACUGGACAGCCGCCAAGGAAAACACAGGGGCAGUGGUGGACUAUUGAAAUAAAUGAGUAGCCUAUGAUAAAUAUAGGAAAAACAGUGUUAGUUAAUACACUUAUGCGCCAACAAAAUCACAUACUAUUUAAUAGGGGGAGGAGUUUUAACAUGAAUGCGUAUGGCUUUAUGUAACAAGGUUGAUUUAAAAAAGAAAAGACAACAAAUAAUCUACAACCUUUUUAGCCAAGUAAAUGCUGGUUCUUCAAAGUCAGUAUUAGUGUGGUGGGAAACAUCAGUUGCCUAAAACAGCUCUAUUAUUCUUGAUGGAGGUCUUCAGAGCUGGAAUAGGAGGAAAAUUAGAUACAUUACUUGAUAAUUUAGCUUUUUGGUUUCAAGUCCCAAAUGGUAUCAACCAACUUGAUUACUGGCCUGGUUCACUAGACUUGGCUCUGAAUUAUUUUUAACAGUUUCCAGGAAUUAAAUCCACCUUAAAAACAAAACAAAACAAAACCAAAAAACCUCACACAAAUCUUGCUAUUUCUCAGGCAUGAAAAAAAGGUCUUGUAAGUUCUGGUGUUCCUAAGGGAGGUUCCCAAACUCCCUUUUUCUGAGCAGGAAAAAUCCCUUUGUUGACCUCACAGGUGAUUUCUGCAAAUGUGCAAGUUUUGAUUUCUUUGUUUGAAGAUCUGUCAUGUCAUCUUAGGCUCAGCCUUCCUCCUUAUUCACACUCUGCAGACUGUCAUCAGGUUUGGUCUGCACAAAAUAGUUGACCUGCAUCAAGGAAUUUAAAUUUUGAAUACCAGACCAGCCAUGACAUUCAGAUCAGUGGGAGACUUUGCAAAUCAAUAUGCAAACCUGAGCAGCCCACAUGGGUGUCUCCCCAACUGGCUCUCAGCAGGAGGCACAGGUUAUGCAAUAACUGAACUCAGCCUGCUUUCCUUCCAACUCAGCAUAAAUCGCUUGUGUGCAGGCGUGAUGGUGCCAAGCCCAGCAGCGAAGGCUAAUUGAGAACCUCGAUGUCUGCCUUCCUGACAGUAGAAAGCUUCGACCUGCUUCCAGGUGACAGUACACACACUUCCAGCAUGAACUCAAAACCCCAGCUGUCUCACCUGUAGAAAAUGACAUGUGCAUAUUACUUUUUUAAUAGGAUUAUUUGCAAAAGAUUAUACACAACAUAAAUCUCCAUCAAUAGGGGCCUCGACCAAUGUAUUAUGGAGUAGAAUAUAUGCAGAUGCAUAGGUAUGUGUAUGCACACAUUUGACAGUUAGUUUUAUAUGUUAUUUUGGUUGAUAUAUCCAAGGGAUGUCCAAGUGGCUAGUAAAAUGUUACUUCUGGAUUUGUCUCAGAGAGUGUUUCUGGGAGAAAAUUGCAUUUGAACUGAUGGACUGAGUAAGAACAUCUGUCCUCACCAGUGUGGGCAGGCACAUUCAAACUACUGAGGGCCUGAAUAGAACAAAAAGAUAGAUGAAGGACAAAUUUCCUUUGCUUUAGCUGGGAUACACUUCUUAUCUUGCCCUUAGACAUUCUCGGGCCUUUGGAACUGGACUGAAAGUGCCAGAUGUGGACUGGAAGUACAGCUCUUUUUUUGUUUCUUUGUUUAAGCAACAUAUUCUCUCGCAGUUCUGUAGGCUGGAAUCUAAGAUCGAGUUGUCUUCUGAGACUCCUCACCUGGGCUUGCAGAUGUGGGUCUUCUCCCUGUGUCCACACUUGCUCUUCCCUCUGUGUGCCUGUGUCCUCAACUCCUCUUUUUCUCAGGGCAGUUGUCAUUUUGGAUUAAAGCUCACUCUAAUGGCUUCAUUUUAAAGGAAGUCCCUCUUUAUAGGGCAAAUCUCCAGAGAGAGCCACAUUCUAAAGUAUGAGGUUUGGGCCAGGUAUUUAGCUCAGUGGUUCUGCCACCUGCCUCACAAGUGUAAGGUCCUGAGUUUGAUCCCCGGUAACAAAAAAAAAAUUUUUUAAUAAAAAAAAUAAAGUAUGAGGUUUAACAUCCUUUAGCUAAAAUGCUUGGGAUCAGAGGCAUUUUGAAUUUUUUUCUCAGAUUUUGGAAUAUUUACAUAUAUGUAAUUUGAUACCUUGGCGGAUAGAACUCAAAUCUAAACAAACGAAUCUGUAUCUCAUGUACAUCUUAUGCAUCCAGCCUGAAUGUAACUUUAUACAAUAUUUUCAGGGUAACUACACCUGGCCUGACCUGUCCUAUGAGGUGAGGCAUGGAGUGUUCUGCUUGUGGUAUCACAUCAGCACCCCCUAAAAAUUUCAGAGCCCUUCCUGGGCCUCUAGCUCACAGAUGGCAGGUGGUGGCACUUGUUGGCCUCCAUAAUCACACGAACCAAUCUUUCAUAAUAAACCUCUUCCUAUGUACCAUAUCUACGCAUAUCCUCUUUGUUUUUCUGAAGAAUUCUGUAAUACACAUAUAUGCAUAAGUUCCAUGUAUGCAAAUAUCUCCAAGAGAUGUUAAGUAAAAAGGAAAGUUGAAGAAUAGUAUGUGUAGUAUGCUACUAAGUUUUUCAUAUGUGUGAAAAACUCUGGAAGGAUCUUCAAGAAAUAAAUUCUGUUGGCUUGUGGGUAAAGAAGCUCAGUGGCUGAGGGACAGACGCAGAAGAAAGAUUCAGCAAUUUUAAAUACUACUUGAACUUGAAAUCAUAUGAAUGUAUAGCCCAUAAAAAUAGUUGCCUUAAAAAUAAAUGACACAUAUCAAUUGACAGAUGAGUAGAUAAAUAAAAUAUGGUAUAUGUGUAUGUGUGUGUGUGUGAUGUGUGUGUGUUCAUCCCUUUAAAAAAUGAAAUUCGUACAUGUGCUGCAACUUGGAUAAACCUUGAAGACUGUAUGCUAAGUGAAAUAAGGUGGAUGUAAAAGGAAAAACAAGGCAUGAUUUCACUUACAUGAGAUACUUAGUAGAGUCAAAUUUACAGAAACAAAGCAAAAUGGUGGUUGCCAAGGCUUGAGGAAGGCAGGAAUGAGGAGUUAUCAUUUAAUGGGUAGAGAGUAUUAGUUUUGCAAGAUCUAAAGGAUUUUGGAGAUUACAUGUACAAUAGUGUAAAUGAUUUUGUCAUUCUACACAAGGAACACCCUAGUUGCAGUCACCUAGAGGAUGUGUUAGAGCAAGGGUCCCCAAACCCCAGGGCCACAGACUGAUACUGGUCCAUAGCCUGUUAGGAACUGAAUCACACAGCGUGUGAGUGGCAGGAAGGGAGAAAGGCUUCAUCUGUAUUUACAGCCACUCCCCAUCAAUCACAUGACCACCUGAGCUUUGCCUCUUGUCAGAUCAGCAGCAGCAUUAGAUUCCCACAGGAGCACGAACCUUACUGUGAGCUGGGCAUGUGAAAGAUCUAGGUUUUUUGUUUUUUACAACAACCUAAUGCCUGAUGAUCUGAGGUGAAGCUGAGGCAGUGAUACUAGCUGAGGGAGUGCCUGCAAAUGCAGACUCCUAUUAGCAGCGAGGUUUGACUGCGCAGAGACCAUAAUAAAUCAAUUGCUUACAGAUUGAGAUCAAAAUCCAUCAGUGAGCAGCAAGUGACAAUUAAAUUGCAUCUGGUGGCAGACUUUAAGUCUGCCCACUAUCUUUGUUACUUGAGUCUCCAUUAUGGUGAGUUGUAUAAUCAUUUCACUAUAUAUUGCAAUGUAAUAAUAAUAGAAAUAAAAUGUACAAUAAAUGUAAUAAUUCUGAAACCACUCUUCCUAUCCUGGUCUGUGGAAAAAUUGUCUUUCAAAAAAACAAUUCCUGAUGCCAAAAAGGUAGGGGACUGCUGUGUUAGAGGACUUUAGGGCUCUGCUCUGCCUGGUCUUUCUGUCAGCUUUAGCAAGGCAGAUUAUCUGAUUGCUCUCUGCUUUUGUUUUUUAAUCUGAAAAAUAGAAGUAUGAUUUUCCAGUCCUGAUACUUUAAUUUCAUUAUUGAGUAUUGAUGUUCCUCCACUCAGGCUCCCAGCCCUUAUGAUAAUAUCAACCCCCAGG
rnacentral:lncRNA from 1 species